rnacentral:rRNA from 1 species
AGAGUUUGAUCCUGGCUCAGGAUGAACGCUAGCGACAGGCUUAACACAUGCAAGUCGAGGGGCAGCACAGGUAGCAAUACCGGGUGGCGACCGGCGCACGGGUGAGUAACGCGUAUGCAACUUACCUAUCAGAGGGGGAUAACCCGGCGAAAGUCGGACUAAUACCGCAUGAAGCAGGGGCCCCGCAUGGGGAUAUUUGCUAAAGAUUCAUCGCUGAUAGAUAGGCAUGCGUUCCAUUAGGCAGUUGGCGGGGUAACGGCCCACCAAACCGACGAUGGAUAGGGGUUCUGAGAGGAAGGUCCCCCACAUUGGUACUGAGACACGGACCAAACUCCUACGGGAGGCAGCAGUGAGGAAUAUUGGUCAAUGGCCGAGAGGCUGAACCAGCCAAGUCGCGUGAGGGAUGAAGGUUCUAUGGAUCGUAAACCUCUUUUAUAAGGGAAUAAAGUGCGGGACGUGUCCCGUUUUGUAUGUACCUUAUGAAUAAGGAUCGGCUAACUCCGUGCCAGCAGCCGCGGUAAUACGGAGGAUCCGAGCGUUAUCCGGAUUUAUUGGGUUUAAAGGGAGCGUAGGUGGAUAGUUAAGUCAGUUGUGAAAGUUUGCGGCUCAACCGUAAAAUUGCAGUUGAUACUGGCAGUCUUGAGUACAGUAGAGGUGGGCGGAAUUCGUGGUGUAGCGGUGAAAUGCUUAGAUAUCACGAAGAACUCCGAUUGCGAAGGCAGCCUGCUAAGCUGCAACUGACAUUGAGGCUCGAAAGUGUGGGUAUCAAACAGGAUUAGAUACCCUGGUAGUCCACACGGUAAACGAUGAAUACUCGCUGUUUGCGAUAUACAGCAAGCGGCCAAGCGAAAGCGUUAAGUAUUCCACCUGGGGAGUACGCCGGCAACGGUGAAACUCAAAGGAAUUGACGGGGGCCCGCACAAGCGGAGGAACAUGUGGUUUAAUUCGAUGAUACGCGAGGAACCUUACCCGGGCUUGAAUUGCAGAGGAAGGAUUUGGAGACAAUGACGCCCUUCGGGGUCUCUGUGAAGGUGCUGCAUGGUUGUCGUCAGCUCGUGCCGUGAGGUGUCGGCUUAAGUGCCAUAACGAGCGCAACCCUUGCCACUAGUUACUAACAGGUAAAGCUGAGGACUCUGGUGGGACUGCCAGCGUAAGCUGCGAGGAAGGCGGGGAUGACGUCAAAUCAGCACGGCCCUUACAUCCGGGGCGACACACGUGUUACAAUGGCGUGGACAAAGGGAAGCCACCUGGCGACAGGGAGCGAAUCCCCAAACCACGUCUCAGUUCGGAUCGGAGUCUGCAACCCGACUCCGUGAAGCUGGAUUCGCUAGUAAUCGCGCAUCAGCCAUGGCGCGGUGAAUACGU